rnacentral:lncRNA from 1 species
UAGUAUAUGUUUUAUUUAAAGUAGUACGUAUAGUCGUAUAUAUUGAAUGGUACGUAUAUAUGUGUAAUUGUGUAUAUAUUUUUUAAAAAAUUUACAGUGUAUAUAAUUGUAGUGUAUAUAGUGUAUAUUGGGAAAAAAAACUUUUUCGUUUUGUUUUUAAAUGGGUUUGACCUAUUUUUUAAUCGGGUUUAGGUGAAUUUGAACGGAUUGAGUUAAGUGGGUCGGGUCAGGGUUAUUUUUAAAAUUUUUACUGUUGAACCCGGACCUGACACUUAAACCCAACCCGGCUCGGCCCAGCCCACCAACCAGGCUAACUUUCACGGGCCAGUUCCGAGUUGAUCUGGCCCGACCCGCUUAACACCCUUAGUUACAACAAAAAAUAAUCAAACAGGAACUAGAAAUGUCCAGAAUGAUAUCACUUUGUCGGAUCACACUAGAAAUGUUGUUGAAGUUGUACAACGCAAUGGUAGUCUUGUUCAACGUUCGCAUGGUGAGUUGACAUCGUAUCCCAUACAGGAAUCUUCCAUUUAUAGAUAUACAAAAUCAUAUCCAUGCCUUGAAUACAACUUUAUGACAAAGGGCCUAAUAAUAAUCUCCUCCAGUUGGCAAAUCACUAGAUUAACGCAGCAACCAGUUUGUCGAUUCUGUAAGAAGUAAACCGAAGUCAUUAUUGGUAUGGAGAUUUAAAGCGUACAUUGCUAAGACUCCAAGGUUUGUCUAACAAUGAUUGAGUCCUCUGAAUAUUGAAUCUACAUAGAGGAGAAACUCAAAGUGUAGUGGUUCAAUUAGGUAAGGGAAGAGACGAGGAGCUCCCCUAUCGCACACCAAUAAAACUAAGUACAUAUUAAUUUGUAACCUUGAAAUCGAGAACUAACUUUUUAACUUCUUAAAAGGAACAUGAGAAAUCCUUUUGUCUUCUUGAAUCGAAGGUAAAAAGGUUGGAGAAGAUGAACAGUUUCAGUAGUUGGACUAAGGGUUUUUGAAUUUUUAGGUUAUCUAAUGAUAGUUUGAGAAGAUAAUGUGGUGAUAUUCAAUGGUUAUGGGUCGGAUAUUUAAUGGAUCGGGUAUUAAAUAGGUCUCAUGUUUUUUAUUUUAACUAUUUUUUUAUUUUACUUAAUGAUGUCGCCCUUUAAUAAGAGGCCGUGAUAAAGUUAUUUUUAAAAAAUCACUGUAAAAAUGUAAUAGUAUGGAUGAGCCG